rnacentral:rRNA from 1 species
UACGGGGGGGGCAAGCGUUGUUCGGAAUUACUGGGCGUAAAGGGCUCGUAGGUGGCCAACUAAGUCAGACGUGAAAUCCCUCAGCUUAACUGGGGAACUGCGUCUGAUACUGGAUGGCUUGAGAUUGGGAGAGGGAUGCGGAAUUCCAGGUGUAGCGGUGAAAUGCGCAGAUAUCAGGAGGAACACCGGUGGCGAAGGCGGGUCUCUGGGCCGAUACUGGACGCUGAGGAGCGAAAGCGUGGGGAGCGAACAGG